GUGAAGACUGGUUCUAAAGAGUCCACUAUAUCAAGGUCCCACACUUCAAUGACAGGGGUCAUAUUUCCCACAGCAAUAUAAUUUCCUACAGGAGGAAAUGAGGUCUUGAGUGCGCCCCUACAUGUGCCUUUCUGACCAGUUCCCAGGUGAUGCCAAUACUGUGCUGCCGAUCCUUGGACCAGAAUUUGAAUAACAAGGGCUCAGUCUUUUGGCCCCAUGGUCCCUGCUUAGGUCCUGAGAACAAAAACCAUCUUCCAUCUUCACCAGUGUCAUGAAAAUGAGGACUGAAUCAGAUCAUGAAAUGUGAAUACGCUUGGCAAAUGAGACGUAAGAGAGAGCAAGCCAGCGAGCAUGAGCCAGGAGGAGCGGCAGACGGAGGAAGGAGAAGCAGACUCCUUGCUGAGCAGGGAGCCCGAUGUGGGGCUCGAUCCAGGAACCCUGGGGUCAUGACCUGAGCCAAAGGCAGCCGCUUAACGACUGAGCCACCUAGGCACCCCUCAGCUUACAUUUUAGAUAAAAAUGAUGAUGAAGCUUUAAAAUAAUCUUUUAUCCAUGUCAAAUCAACCUUCAGAUCAGCUUACUCCCUGCUGAGCCUGGAGCCUGAUGCCGCAGGACUCGAUCUCAC